AGGAGACGGUCUGGAGUUCCCCGCUGCGCCCGGGGACGGGAAGACCGAGGACCGCAGCGCCCCUCGGGGCUUCUGGGGAGCCCAGGUAACCUCACCUGGCUGCCAGCCUUCUGCAGGAGGAGCAGACGCGUAGGUUCCCCAGUGAACCUGUUAACAACUCAACUUCAAGUAUUCGAUGAUUGUAUCUCUUAAUCCUUAUCACGGGAGUGCCAUUGUGCUGUGGAUGGAGGCUAAUACAGAACCUCACCAUUGGUUAAAGUGCAAAGAACAAGUCUCUGUGGAGUGCUAAGCCUUAAAGGUGACAUCUACAAUAUCGCCCCACCAUUUCAGCAUGGAUAGGGAGGGGUACAGAGGCCCAUUCUGGAACAGAGCCCUUGGGACAGUGCCAUCCAAAUUAAGGGUAUCAGCUUCCAUCAGUCGAGUGGAAAUAAUACUGGACCCUGCUUCAUUGUAUGACUCAGUCCCCAAGCCUUGCCAGACUCCGAGACCUCCCUGGAACUUUUGCUGCUAUUGCCUUCAAGAGGAAUUUUUACUUUGUUAUCCCCAUGUCUGGUGGUGGGAUCAAAGUUGUGAGUGACUACACCUGGGACUUUUAGGAACCUGAGUUACCUACCAUGGCUGACUGAAAAUUCCAGGGAGAUUUUAGUGUCAUCUGUCCGUGGAAACCUGUGUUUGCUGAUGGCUGCCUUUAAAGGCCAACACACAUGAAGUUAGCACAGAAGAAGAAGGAAAGAAGAAAUUGCUAUGAUUUCUCAUUUCGUACCUAUGCAUUACUUGAAUAUAUUGACAGAGACAUGUAUCCAUUUUAUGAACUUAAGAGCAGAGGAAAGUAGUCUGACUUAGGCUCUUCUUGCUGAAUGUCAAACAUCAUUAUCGUCCCGUUUACCCAGUGCAAAGCCUGCACAAUAACCUCCAUGUACUGAAAAAUAACACAUCAAAACUCCAAGUGUGGACUCAGAUCUUUUCCACCAGUGUGACUAGUUUUAAACCUGUCUUCAACUUUCCUCUGUAACCUAAUUCUGCUUCUGUUCUUCAUGUGCAAUAAAAUGUCUUUUAGACA